ensembl:lncRNA
GGCUGCAUUUAUUUGAUCCAAGAUACAUAAAAACAGCAAUAUUGCAAUUUAAAAUAACUUUUUUCUCUUUAAUAUAUUUUAAAAUGUAAAUCAUUCUGUGAUGGCAAAGCUGAAUUUUCACAUGAUUCUUCAGAAAGCAUUCUAAUAUCCUAAUUUGGUUCUCAAGGAACAAUUCUUCUUGGUAAUGGUGAAAACAGUUGUGCUGCUUAAGAUUUUUUCAGGAUUCUUUUAUGAAUAGAAAGUUCACAAAGAUCAGCAUUAUUAUGAAAUAAAAAUCUUCUGUUUUUACUGUCACUUUUGAUGAACACUUUUGAUAACUUAUUAGAAGUUGUGAAUUUCUCUUUUUAAAAAUCAGCCAUCGUAAUUUUUCAAUUCCCUUCUGCUCUGUAUGUGUGAAUUUUGUUUAUUAAAGCCUGCAAGUCCCUUCUUGGUCCUUCUGAAUGGUAUUAUAAGCACUCCACCAACCAAGAGCAAAACAUCUCCAGACUGAAAUGGCUGGGGUGGCAGGGCCACUCUACACCACAGAGUAGAUAAAUUCAGCUAAAGAUUAGCGUGGAUCUGUUACAGGCUAAAAGUGGAAAGCAGUGUGGAGUUACACACCUCGUCCAAGUCCAAGUCUCUUCCCAGCUGCUACUCCAUUUCUCUGGCUGGCCCACAAUGCAGUGCUGCAGGCGUCCUCAAUCACUGAGGCAUAUGAUGUGAGUGGACACCACUCAGCCAGAGAAACAGUCCUCGAUGUGUCUCCCUUGUACUCUUCCAUACUACAACCACUCACAAACACAGCCUUUCUGUUCCUAUGAGUGUCAGUACUGCUAAAUAAAUUCACUUAGACCUGACUGUUCCUCUCACUUCUUCACAAAAGCUAAAACACACGGCCAUUUCACUUCACAACAUAAGAAUACUCAACCUUGCUCUGCACACUCUUGUCAUACAAUGUUUCUCACUAGUGCAACAAAGCCAAUAACUUGUUUUUGUCGCACCAAAUGUAAUGCCCACCUGAACCUACUUGUUCCCCUCAUACUCCAAAUUUCAGCAUUAGUACAUGAUUAAUUGAUAUAUUUAUCAUAAGCAACAACAUAAUUGGCACUGUUCCUUUUGUCAGCAGUGUACUUGAUUGCCUAACAUUGGUAUAUAUCCAUAACAACAGAAAGAAACAAGCUUAAACUAAAGCAUGCCACCUUCAGCCGUACUGAGAAAGAAUGAAAUGUCACACGUGAG